CAGCCGCCGCGGGAAUACAGAGGGUGCGAGCGUUAAUCGGAUUUACUGGGCGUAAAGCGUGCGUAGGCGGCUAAUUGAGUCGGAUGUGAAAUCCCCGAGCUUAACUUGGGAAUUGCAUUCGAUACUGGUUAGCUAGAGUGUGGGAGAGGAUGGUAGAAUUCCAGGUGUAGCGGUGAAAUGCGUAGAGAUCUGGAGGAAUACCGAUGGCGAAGGCAGCCAUCUGGCCUAACACUGACGCUGAGGUACGAAAGCGUGGGGAGCAAACAGGAUUAGAUACCCCGGUAGUCCUGUCUCUUAUACA
rnacentral:rRNA from 1 species